UACAGAGGUCUCAAGCGUUGUUCGGAUUCAUUAGGCGUAAAGGGUGCGUAGGUGGCGCCAUAAGUCAGGUGUGAAAUCUCGGGGCUCAACCCCGAAACUGCAUUUGAUACUGUGGUGCUCGAGUACUGGAGAGGAGAUUGGAAUUUACGGUGUAGCAGUGAAAUGCGUAGAUAUCGUAAGGAAGACCAGUGGCGAAGGCGAAUCUCUGGACAGUUACUGACACUGAGGCACGAAGGCCAGGGGAGCAAACGGG
rnacentral:rRNA from 1 species